rnacentral:lncRNA from 1 species
UGAGAGUCAGUUCUUAUGACUAGUACUGGGCACAUAAGGUGGCAAGACCCCCUUAUCCCCAUUUUUAGUUCUUGGCAAGUCCCCCUUUGACUCCAGGUUGCUAAGCACAGCUAUGCAGGUUGCACACUACAUACCCCAUCUCCACAGACUCACUCACUCACUCUUCUCCUGUGCAGGGAGGAGUUAGGGUGGCGUUUCGGGCAGAUCAUUAUGGCAAAUGGAGUUUGCAGCAGGACUAACAGGGUCACCUUCAGGGUCCUGGAUGAAGUUCAUUCUUUCAGGGCCACAGAAGCGUAGAAAACUCUUUAGUCAUAAGUUGGUGGGGGUGCCAAGAGGAAAGGCACAGCAGAGAAUGCUAAGAGCCUAAGGAUGUGACUGGAGAAUCUCCUGAAGUUAUAGAUCCUGCAGGCAGGGCUGGCUUCAGGGAAGUGCAACCUGUGCAGUCGCACUGGUCCACAUGCUUGGAAGAGGCCCCUUAUUUUCACUUUGCACUGAGUCCUCAAGUUACAUGACUGGUCAGUCCUACCCCAUAAGGCAUGGAUUGCAAAGGAGAACAAAGAAUCCACGGAGGUGAUCGACUUUGAGGUGAAGCUGGGAGAGGAAGAUGAUGGUGCCAUCAACAGAAAAAGGCUUUGAUGACUCAGGCUGCCAUACUGAAGAUGCCCACAUGGCCAGGAGCUGGGACCUUUAUUCUAACAACCCUCAAGCAGCUGAAUCCUGCCAAUAAUCAUGUGAGCUUGGAUGUGGGUCCUUCCCUACUUGAACCUUCAGAUGAGACCCCAGCCCCAGCUGAUACUUUGACUGCAGCUUUGUGAGAGACCCUGAGACAGAGGACCGAGAUGAGCCAUGCCUUGGCUGCUGGCCCACAAAAACUGUGAGAUCAAAAUGAUGUGUUGUUUUAAGCCAUUAACUGUGUGGUAACUUGUCAAACAGUGUAUUAGGCCAUUUGUGUUGCUACAAAGGAAUACCCGAGGCUGAGUAGUUUAUUAAGAAAAGAGGUUUAAUUGGCUUAUGGUUCUGCAGGCAAUAUGAGAAGCAUGGUGCCAAUAUCUGCUUGGCUUCUGGUGUGGCCUCAAGAAGCUUACAAUCACAGCGGAAGGUGACAGGGAGCCAGCAUGUUACAUGGCAAGAACAGGAACAAGAGAGAGGAGAGGGAGCCAGGUUCUUUUAAACAGCCAGCUCUCCAGUGAAUCAGCAGAGCAAGAACUCACGCAUUGCCAUAGGGAGGGCACCAAGGCAUUCAUGAGGGACCCACUCCCAUGACCUAAAUACCCCCACAAGGCCCAGCUUCCAACAUGGGGAUUACAUUUUAAGAUGAAACUUGGAGGGGACAAAACAUCCAAGCCAUAUUCCAUAGCAACAGGUAACCAAUACACCACAUGUACCAAAGCCUUGGUCCAAGGCCCUGUCUUCAUAGAGCCCAGGCUGUCCUGCGGUCUGCACUGAGCUCACCCUCCAGGAGGCAUACUAGAGAUCUUUGCACCUCCUUCUCCUCUUACCCACAGGACAGAUAUCUUGGCCAGUCUUUCUGAAUGCCCAGCUGUCCGAGGAUGCCUUUCUUUGCUUUUCCCCUCUGUAUGGGGGCUGGAGGCAGGUGAACCCCUUGAUGAACAGGGUCUCUCUCCUGGGUUUUGCCCAGUUGCAGUUCACACCCCCUUCCCCAUGCUUUGUGCCUGUCUCCCAGUUGCUGGGUGGUCAGGGGAGACUCUGCAGAAGGGGCAGGUGCCUGUGCCUCUGGAUGGUUCCACUGAAGAACUGAUGUAAGGGAUGACGUGUGGGGACUGUAGGGCUUCCAGGAUCAGGAAGCGGGUGAUGGAAGCACCUAGGCAAUAUGGCCCCAAGCUCCUGAAGACCACCUUCUCCCGUCUCCCUCCUCUCAGCCCCAAAACAACAGACAAGCAAACCUACCCUGAAACAGUGUCGUCACUGCACGAGGCACUGUGCCCAUGCAAUAUCCCAUCCGGUGCCAGCCUUGGAGGGAGGUGUCUUCAUGCCCCUUUAACAGAUGGGAAAGGCAGCAUGGUAAGUGACUGCUGGGAAGUCACAGGGCAGCAUUCGGCCCAGGUCUGUCACACUCCAAAGUCUGCGAGCUCUUCAGAUUCCACUUGGAAGGCUCCUCCCCUUGGCCUAAUGUCUCAGGCACACAGCAGCCAACUCAAGACGAGGGUCCCUAUUUGGGGAGUCUGGAUCCGUGUUUCGCAGUGUGGUCAGUCCAUGGGCCAAUCGCAUCAGCAUCAGUGUCUCCUGGGGUCUUGCCAGCAACCACAGAUCCCCAGGCUCACCCCAGACCUGCUGUCUCAGCCAGCUAGGGCUGCUGUAACUACAGACCACAGACUGGGGCUUAAACAACAGGCAUUGAUUUUCUCAUUGUUCUGGAGGCUGAAAGCCUGAGAUCAGGGAGCCAGCAUGGUCGGGGGUUGGGGAUGCUCUCUUCCAAGGUUGUAGAGGGCUGCCUUCUCAAUAUGUCCUCACAUGGUGGGGUGGGGUGGGAUGGGGAGGGAGAGAGAGAGAGAAGGGGAAAAAGAAGGGGAGAGAGAAAUAAGGAGAGAGAGAGAGGGACAGAGAGAGAGGAAGAGAAAGAGAGGGGGAGAGGCCGGGCGUGGUGGCUCAUGGCUGUAAUCCCAGCACUUUGGGAGGCUGAGGAGGACAGAUUGCCUGAGCUCAGGAGUUCGAGACCAGCCUGGGCAACAUAGUGAAACCCCAUCUCUACAAAAAAGAAUAUAUAUGUAUACACAUAUAUAAAAACACAAACAUUAGCCGGGCAUGGUGGUGCAUGCCUGUAAUCCCAGCUUCUCAGGAGGCUGAAGCAGGAGAAUCACUUGAACCCGGGAGGCCAAGGCUGCAGUGAGCCGAGAUCGUGCCACUGCACUCCAGCCUGGGUGACAGAAUGAGACUCCUUCCCAUCCAAAAAAAAAAGAAAGAGGGAGAGAGAGAGAGAGAAAGAGGGAGAGAGAGAAAGGG